UACGUAGGGUGCAAGCGUUGUCCGGAAUUAUUGGGCGUAAAGAGCUCGUAGGCGGCUUGUCGCGUCGGCUGUGAAAACCUGGGGCUCAACCCCGGGCCUGCAGCCGAUACGGGCAAGCUAGAAUUCGGUAGGGGAGACUGGAAUUCCUGGUGUAGCGGUGAAAUGCGCAGAUAUCAGGAGGAACACCGGUGGCGAAGGCGGGUCUCUGGGCCGAUAUUGACGCUGAGGAGCGAAAGCGUGGGGAGCGAACAGG
rnacentral:rRNA from 3 species